GACGGAGGGGGUUAGCGUUGUUCGGAAUUACUGGGCGUAAAGCGCGCGUAGGCGGACCAGAAAGUUGGGGGUGAAAUCCCGGGGCUCAACCCCGGAACGGCCUCCAAAACUCCUGGUCUUGAGUUCGAGAGAGGUGAGUGGAAUUCCGAGUGUAGAGGUGGAAUUCGUAGAUAUUCGGAGGAACACCAGUGGCGAAGGCGGCUCACUGGCUCGAUACUGACGCUGAGGUGCGAAAGUGUGGGGAGCAAACAGG
rnacentral:rRNA from 1 species